rnacentral:rRNA from 1 species
GCUACGGGAGGCAGCAGUGAGGAAUAUUGCACAAUGGGGGAAACCCUGAUGCAGCGACGCCGCGUGAGUGAAGAAGUAAUUCGUUACGUAAAGCUCUAUCAGCAGGGAAGAAACACUGACCUUACGGUCAGCAGACGGUACCUGAGUAAGAAGCCCCGGCUAACUACGUGCCAGCAGCCGCGGUAAUACGUCGGGGGCAAGCGUUAUCCGGAUUUACUUGGUGUAAAGGGGGCGUAGACGGGGCGCCCAGUCUGGAGUGAAAUGCCGCAGCUUAACUGCGGAACUGCUUUGGAAACUGGCGAACGAGAGGGCGGGAGGGGUAAGCGGAAUUCCUAGUGUAGCGGUGAAAUGAGUAGAUAUUAGGAGGAACACCGGUGGCGAAGGCGGCUUACUGGACCGUAACUGACGUUGAGGCUCGAAAGCGUGGGGAGCAAACAGGAUUAGAUACCCGUGUAGUC